UGCUUCCGUACCCAGCAAUCCCUGCGGCAUUCUUACCUUCUGGUUAUCCGUUUGUGACCUUUCUUCCUUGGUGCUUCUCUGACUUCGAAGAUGCUGCUUAAUAUUUCAAAGUUGUGGACUAUGUAUAAACCUUCAAAAGAAUUUCAGCCUAUCCUGAUUUCUGCAAUUUUUACUGGAUACAUUUUUUACAAAAUUGAAUUUGGAGGUGAAAAGUCAGCAGAAAGAAGAGCAGCAGAAAAAAGGAGGAGGAGAUCCAGGUCUGACCAUCAUUAAAACUUGCACUCUUCAGUAUGAAUUUGUGAACUGUCAUCUUAGCUGUAAACAAGCCGAGCUACAUCAUGGGAAACUAAUUGUUCUGUAAACAGUGUGCAUCAUUAGCACAGUGAUAAUCUGCCAUCUGUCAUGGACUAAAUAAAUGUGGUGUUCAAGAAG